AUGUUCCCGGAAUUCUGGAGCCCCAACAUUCCUGGAGUUCCAGAUCCUCAACCUCUUGCACUUCUGGAGCCCGGAUGUUCCCAGAUUUUCAAAGCCCCAGCAUUCCCAAUUUUCCAGAACCCUGAUAUUCCCGGAAUUCCGGAGCCCCAAACAUUCCCAGAUUUCCACCGGGACGUGGCUCUGGAACCUGGAAUUCCCCAAUUUCCACCCCCGGCCAUUCCCAGCUCUCCAGACCCCGACAUUCCCAAAUUUCCAGAGGGAUGCAGCUCUAGAGCCCCCAAAUUCCCGGAUUUCCAGAGCCCCAACAUUCCCGAAUUUCCAUUGAGACGCGGCUCCGGAGCCCCGACAUUCCCAGAUUUCCUCACCCCGUUAUUCCCGGAUUCCCACGGCGCCGUUCCCGGCUCUGGGAGCGCCUGGAAUUGUGUCCCUCCCAUUCCCAGAAUUCCGGGAUGGAUUUUCCCAGGGUCCUUUUUAGAUUGGAUUUCCCUAAAUUUGAGUUUGGAAAUUUUUUCCCAAUUUUUCCAGUUGGAUUUUCCCUUUUCCAGGUGGGAUUUUCCCUCUUUUUUUUCCCCCUGGAUCUUCCCAAGUUUUCCCGUUGGAUUCUCCCAGGUUGGGAGUUGGAUUUUCCCCGUUUUUCCCAGUUGGAUUUUCCCAAGUUUUUGGGGAUUUGGAUUUUCCCGAGGUUUUUUCCCGGAUUUCCCCUCCUUUGGGUCAGAUUUUCCCUCCUUUCCCAGCUGGAUUUUUCCCUCUUUUUUUUGGGCUGGAAUUCCCGAGUUUUCCUGUUGGAUUUUCCCUCCUCUGGGUUCAAUUUUCCCUCUUUUUUUUACUGGAAUUUUCCCUCUUUUUCUUGGAAUUCUCCCUUUUCUUUCUUGGAAUUUUCCCCUUUUAUUUAAUUGGAAUUUUCCUUCUUUUUUUCUUGGAAUUUUCCCUAAUUUUUAUUGGAAUUUUCCCUUUUUUCCCGUUGGAAUUUUUUCCCUCUGGAACAUUCCCAAUAAACAGAUCCCUCCCUCUCCCUGGCACUGGUGGAUUUUUCCCUGGGAUUUUCCGGGAUUUUGGGAAUCUGAGGGGGGUGGGAACAUCCUCCAAAAACCCCCGGAAUAUUCCCACCAAAUCCCCUCAGAAAACCUUGGAAUGUUCCCAGAAAACACCAGAAAACCUUGGAAUAUUGUCAGGAAUUUAUGGAAUAUUGUCAUAAAACCUUGGAAUAUUUCCAUAAAAACUGGGAAUCUGGUCAGAAAUCUAUGGGAUAACACAAAACCUGGGAAUAUUUCCAGAAAACCUGGGAAUAUUUUCAUAAAAACU
rnacentral:lncRNA from 1 species